rnacentral:rRNA from 1 species
CUGGAGCGCUUAGAAGUGAGAAUGCCGGUAUGAGUAGCGAAAGACAGGUGAGAAUCCUGUCCACCGAAUGACUAAGGUUUCCUGGGGAAGGCUCGUCCGCCCAGGGUUAGUCGGGACCUAAGCCGAGGCCGACAGGCGUAGGCGAUGGAUAACAGGUUGAUAUUCCUGUACCCGUUGUUUUUGUUUGAGCAAUGGAGGGACGCAGGAGGCUAAGGAAUGCAGACGAUCGGAAAUGUCUGUCCAA